rnacentral:rRNA from 1 species
GACGGACGCUGGCGGCGUGCUUAACACAUGCAAGUCGAACGGAAAGGCCCUGCUUUUGUGGGGUGCUCGAGUGGCGAACGGGUGAGUAACACGUGAGUAACCUGCCCUUGACUUUGGGAUAACUUCAGGAAACUGGGGCUAAUACCGGAUAGGAGCUCCUGCUGCAUGGUGGGGGUUGGAAAGUUUCGGCGGUUGGGGAUGGACUCGCGGCUUAUCAGCUUGUUGGUGGGGUAGUGGCUUACCAAGGCUUUGACGGGUAGCCGGCCUGAGAGGGUGACCGGCCACAUUGGGCCUGAGAUACGGCCCAGACUCCUACGGGAGGCAGCAGUGGGGAAUAUUGCACAAUGGGCGGAAGCCUGAUGCAGCAACGCCGCGUGCGGGAUGACGGCCUUCGGGUUGUAAACCGCUUUCGCCUGUGACGAAGCGUGAGUGACGGUAAUGGGUAAAGAAGCACCGGCUAACUACGUG